rnacentral:rRNA from 1 species
GUGUCGAGGCUGUAUUGUCUCUUACUCCCUAUCCGUAAAAUUGACCUUCCGGUGAGGCAGGGGAAUAUGACAAUAAGGGGAAGACCUUAUGAGUUUUAAUUAACCACCCAAAGAGAUUUUGAUAAUAAAGCGAGCGGGAUAACAUCUCUCUACCAUGGCCGAAAUUUGGGUUGACCUCGGAGAAUAAAACAACCUCCGAGUGAUUUAAAUCUAGACUAACUAGUCGAAAGUACUACAUCACUUAUUGAUCCAAAAACUUGAUCAACGGAACAAGUUACCCUAGGGAUAACAGCACAAUCGAGGGCUUUCUGUCUCUUACUUCCWAYSSGKGAAAUKGACCUUCCCGUGAAGAGGCGGGAAUAUGACAAUAAGACGAGAAGACCCUAUGGAGCUUUAAUUAACCGACCCAAAGAGAUCUUGAUAAUCAACCGACAGGGAUAACAUACCUCUACCAUGGGCCGACAAUUUAGGUUGGGGUGACCUCGGAGAAUAAAACAACCUCCGAGUGAUUUAAAUCUAGACUAACUAGUCGAAAGUACUACAUCACUUAUUGAUCCAAAAACUUGAUCAACGGAACAAGUUACCCUAGGGAUAACAGCGCAAUCCUAUUUUAGAGUCCAUAUCGACAAUAGGAU